CUACGUGCCAGCAGCCGCGGUAAUACGUAGGUCCCAAGCGUUGUCCGGAUUUAUUGGGCGUAAAGCGAGCGCAGGCGGUUAGAUAAGUCUGAAGUUAAAGGCUGUGGCUUAACCAUAGUACGCUUUGGAAACUGUUUAACUUGAGUGCAAGAGGGGAGAGUGGAAUUCCAUGUGUAGCGGUGAAAUGCGUAGAUAUAUGGAGGAACACCGGUGGCGAAAGCGGCUCUCUGGCUUGUAACUGACGCUGAGGCUCGAAAGCGUGGGGAGCGAACGGGAUUAGAUACCCCGGUAGUCCUGGCCGUAAACGAUGGGUACUAGGUGUAGGAGGUAUCGACCCCUUCUGUGCCGGAGUUAACGCAAUAAGUACCCCGCCUGGGGAGUACGACCGCAAGGUUGAAACUCAAAGGAAUUGACGGGGGCCCGCACAAGCGGUGGAGUAUGUGGUUUAAUUCGACGCAACGCGAAGAACCUUACCAGGUCUUGACAU
rnacentral:rRNA from 1 species